rnacentral:tRNA from 1 species
GGGCCCAUAGCUCAGUUGGUAGAGCGCAUCCAUGGCAUGGAUGAGGUCAGGAGUUCGAGACUCCUUGGGUCCACCA